rnacentral:rRNA from 1 species
UGAGGAAUAUUGGACAAUGGGUGAGAGCCUGAUCCAGCCAUCCCGCGUGCAGGAAGACGGCCCUAUGGGUUGUAAACUGCUUUUGUAUGGGAAUAAACCACCUUUCGUGAAGGGUGUUGAAGGUACCAUACGAAUAAGCACCGGCUAACUCCGUGCCAGCAGCCGCGGUAAUACGGAGGGUGCAAGCGUUAUCCGGAUUUAUUGGGUUUAAAGGGUCCGCAGGCGGGCUAGUAAGUCAGAGGUGAAAGCCGGCAGCUUAACUGUCGAACUGCCUUUGAAACUGCAAGUCUUGAGUAAAAUUGAAGUGGCUGGAAUGUGUAGUGUAGCGGUGAAAUGCAUAGAUAUUACACAGAACACCGAUAGCGAAGGCAGGUCACUAAAUUUUAACUGACGCUGAGGG